rnacentral:rRNA from 1 species
UACGUAGGGGGCAAGCGUUGUCCGGAAUCAUUGGGCGUAAAGAGCGCGUAGGCGGCCCUGUAAGUCCGCUGUGAAAGUCAAGGGCUCAACCCUUGGAUGCCGGUGGAUACUGCAGGGCUAGAGGGUGGUAGAGGCGAGUGGAAUUCCCGGUGUAGCGGUGAAAUGCGCAGAUAUCAGGAGGAACACCGGUGGCGAAGGCGGGUCUCUGGGCCGAUACUGACGCUGAGGAGCGAAAGCGUGGGGAGCGAACAGG